rnacentral:piRNA from 1 species
UUAUUGUUUGGGAUUAAAGUGUAUAC